rnacentral:rRNA from 1 species
AUUGAACGCUGGCGGCAGGCUUAACACAUGCAAGUCGAGCGGGGUGAUGGUGCUUGCACUAUCACUUAGCGGCGGACGGGUGAGUAAUGCUUAGGAAUCUGCCUAUUAGUGGGGGACAACAUCUCGAAAGGGAUGCUAAUACCGCAUACGUCCUACGGGAGAAAGCAGGGGAUCACUUGUGACCUUGCGCUAAUAGAUGAGCCUAAGUCGGAUUAGCUAGUUGGUGGGGUAAAGGCCUACCAAGGCGACGAUCUGUAGCGGGUCUGAGAGGAUGAUCCGCCACACUGGGACUGAGACACGGCCCAGACUCCUACGGGAGGCAGCAGUGGGGAAUAUUGGACAAUGGGGGGAACCCUGAUCCAGCCAUGCCGCGUGCGUGAAGAAGGCCUUAUGGUUGUAAAGCACUUUAAGCGAGGAGGAGGCUCUUUUGGUUAAUACCCAAGAUGAGUGGACGUUACUCGCAGAAUAAGCACCGGCUAACUCUGUGCCAGCAGCAGCCGCCG